GGUUUAUUAAAAGAAAAUUGCAGGUUAAUUUUAGUAUGUUUAAAAUGAUUGUAAAACAUACAAAGCUAGGAGGUGAGAAAGGUCCCUUUUCUGCUUUAAAAAUGAAUGUUACCAAAGUUGCUGAUUUGGCCAAAUAAAAAAAUAUGUGUGGUUCCAGUAACCCUACCGUUCCUACUUUUUCGGCUUAAAAAUAGCCUACCCUAAAGAUUUUAUUGUCAUUUUUCAUUAAGCACUGUUAAAGUCAGAAUGUUGCUCCCAUAGACUCAAUGUAAAAAAAAACCAUAAAAUAAAAAAAAAAAAUCCCUACCUACCUACCCUAACUUUUUUUCAGAUGUAACUGGAACCACACAUACUUUUUUAUUUGGCCUUA
rnacentral:lncRNA from 1 species